rnacentral:rRNA from 1 species
GGUUGCGAUCCUAGCUCAGAUUGAACGCUGGCGGGAUGCUUUACAUGCCGUCGGGCAGCAGCACGGACGGUCACGGUGGCGAAGUGGCGAACAGGUGAGUAAUGUAUCGGAACGUGCCUAGUAGCGGGGAUAACUACGCGAAAGCGUAGCUAAUACCGCAUACGCCCUUCGGGGAAAGCGGGGAGACCUUCGGGCCUCGCACGCACUAUUGGUGACCGAUAUCGGAUUGGCUAGUUGGUGGGGUAACGGCUCACCGAGGCGACGAUCCGUAGCUGGUUUGAAGGACGACAGCCACACUGGGACUGAGACGGCCAGACUCCUGCAAGGAGAGCAGCGCGGUGAAAAUUUGGACAAUGGGGGAAACCCUGAUCAGCCAUCCCGUGUGCGAUGAAGGCCUUCGGGUUGUAAAGCACUUUUGGCGGAAAGAAACGGCACGGGAUAAUACCCCGUACGGCAAUGGCUUACCUGCAGAAUAAGCACUGGUAACUACGUGCUGGCAGCCAUGAUAAUACGUAAGUGCAAGCGUUAAUCGGAAUUACUGGGCGUAAAAGCGUGCGCAGGCGGUUCGGAAAGAAAGAUGUAAAAUCACGAGCUUACUUUGGAACACAUUUUAACUACCGAGCUAGAGUGUGUCAGAGGAAGUGGAAUUCCGCGUGUGGCAGUGAAAUGCGUGGAGUCAUGCGGAGGGGAACACCAUUCGAAGGCAACCUCCUGGGAUAACAUGACGCUCAUGCACGAAAAGCGUGGGAGCAAACAGGAUUAGAUACCCUGGUAGUCCACGCCCUAAACGAUGUCAACAGCUGUUGGGGCCUUCGGGCAGCGGUAGCGCAGCUAACGCGUGAAGUUGACCGCCUGGGAAAUUGAUCGCAAGAUUAAAACUCAAAGGAAUUGGCGGGGACCCGCAUAAGCGAUUGGUCCCAGUGAUUAAUUCGAUGCAGCGCGAAAAACCUUACCUACCCUUGACAUGUCUGGAAUCCCGAAGAGAUUUAGGAAUUGCUCGCAAGAGAACCGGUACAGGUGCUGCAUGGCUGUCGUCGAAGCUCGUGUCGUGAGAUGUUGGGUUAAGUCCUAACGAGCGCAGCCCUUGUCAUUAGUUGCUACGAAGGGCACUCUAAUGAGACUGCCGGUGACAAGCCGGAGGAAGGUGGGGAUGAGCGUCUUAGUCUCAUGGCCCUUAUGGGUAGGGCUUCACACGUCAUACAAUGGUCGGGACAGAGGGUCGCCAACCUGCGAAAAGGGGAGCCAAUCCCAGAAACCCGAUCAGCGUCCGGAUCGCAGUCUGCAGCUCGACUGCGUGAAGUGGAAUCACUUCCAGUAAUCAUGAAUCAGCAUGUCGCUGAUGAAUACGUUCCCGGGUCUUGUCUUUGCCGUACACCAUGGGGUGAACUUGCCAAGUUAGCCUAACCGUAAGGAGGCGUUACGACAAGUUCGCCGGCUGAGGUGAAGUCGUAACAAGGUAG